GAAUUUUGGACAAUGGGCGAAAGCCUGAUCCAGCAAUGCCGCGUGCAGGAUGAAGGCCUUCGGGUUGUAAACUGUUUUUGUACGGAACGAAAAGCUUUGGGUUAAUACCCUGGAGUCAUGACGGUACCGUAAGAAUAAGCACUGGCGAACUACGGGCUAGCAGCCGCGGUAAUAAGUAGGGUGCAAACGUUAAACGGAAUUACUGGGCGUAAAGCUUGCCCAUGCGGUUUUGUAAGACGAAGGGAAAAUCCCCGGGCCAAACCUGGGAACUGCCUUUGUGACUGCAAGGCUAGAGUACGGCAGAGGGGGGUGGAAGUCCGCGUGUAGCAGUGAAAUGCGUAGAUAUGCGGAGGAACACCGAUGGCGAAGGCAACCCCCUGGGCCUGUACUGACGCUCAUGCACGAAAGCGUGGGGAGCAAACA
rnacentral:rRNA from 1 species